rnacentral:rRNA from 1 species
GAUCCUGGCUUAGGAUGAACGCUGGCGGCGUGCUUAACACAUGCAAGUCGAACGGAGUUUUUAAACGGAAGUUUUCGGAUGGAAGUUUAGAAACUUAGUGGCGGACGGGUGAGUAACGCGUGGGUAACCUGCCUCAUACAGGGGGAUAACAGUUAGAAAUGACUGCUAACACCGCAUAAUAUAGCGAAACCGCAUGAUUUUGCUAUCAAAUAUUUAUAGGUAUGAGAUGGGCCCGCGUCUGAUUAGCUAGUUGGUGGGGUAAAAGCCUACCAAGGCGACGAUCAGUAGCCGGCUUGAGAGAGUGACCGGCCACAUUGGGACUGAGACACGGCCCAAACUCCUACGGGAGGGCAGCAGUGGGGAAUAUUGGACAAUGGGGGAAACCCUGAUCCAGCGACGCCCGCGUGAGUGAAGAAGUAUUUCGGUAUGUAAAGCUCUAUCAGCAGGGAAGAUAAUGACAGUACCUGACUAAGAAGCCCCGGCUAACUACGUGCCAGCAGCAGC